rnacentral:rRNA from 1 species
CCUACGGGAGGCAGCAGUGAGGAAUAUUGGUCAAUGGACGAGAGUCUGAACCAGCCAAGUAGCGUGAAGGAUGACUGCCCUAUGGGUUGUAAACUUCUUUUAUAUGGGAAUAAAAUGUUCCACGUGUGGGAUUUUGUAUGUACCAUAUGAAUAAGGAUCGGCUAACUCCGUGCCAGCAGCCGCGGUAAUACGGAGGAUCCGAGCGUUAUCCGGAUUUAUUGGGUUUAAAGGGAGCGUAGGUGGAUUGUUAAGUCAGUUGUGAAAGUUUGCGGCUCAACCGUGAAAUUGCAGUUGAAACUGGCAGUCGUGAGUACGGUAGAGGUGGGCGGAAUUCGUGGUGUAGCGGUGAAAUGCUUAGAUAUCACGAAGAACUCCGAUUGCGAAGGCAGCUCACUGGACUGCAACUGACACUGAGGCUCGAAAGUGUGGGUAUCAAACAGGAUUAGAUACCCGAGUAGUC